AGAUUCUUCGGAUGAUUGGUUGGUGACUGAGUGGCGGACGGGUGAGUAACGCGUGGGUAACCUGCCCUGUACAGGGGGAUAACAGUUGGAAACGGCUGCUAAUACCGCAUAAGCGCACGAGAGGACAUCCUCUUGUGUGAAAAACUCCGGUGGUACAGGAUGGGCCCGCGUCUGAUUAGUUGGUUGGCAGGGUAACGGCCUACCAAGGCGACGAUCAGUAGCCGGUCUGAGAGGAUGAACGGCCACAUUGGAACUGAGACACGGUCCAAACUCCUACGGGAGGCAGCAGUGGGGAAUAUUGCACAAUGGGGGAAACCCUGAUGCAGCAACGCCGCGUGAGUGAAGAAGUAUUUCGGUAUGUAAAGCUCUAUCAGCAGGGAAGAUAAUGACGGUACCUGACUAAGAAGCUCCGGCUAAAUACGUGCCAGCAGCCGCGGUAAUACGUAUGGAGCAAGCGUUAUCCGGAUUUACUGGGUGUAAUGGGUGCGUAGGUGGCAGUGCAAGUCAGAUGUGAAAGGCCGGGGCUCAACCCCGGAGCUGCAUUUGAAACUGCAUAGCUAGAGUACAGGAGAGGCAGGCGGAAUUCCUAGUGUAGCGGUGAAAUGCGUAGAUAUUAGGAGGAACACCAGUGGCGAAGGCGGCCUGCUGGACUGUUACUGACACUGAGGCACGAAAGCGUGGGGAGCAAACA
rnacentral:rRNA from 1 species